UACGGGGGGGGCAAGCGUUGUUCGGAAUUACUGGGCGUAAAGGGCUCGUAGGCGGCCAACUAAGUCAGACGUGAAAUCCCUCGGCUUAACCGGGGAACUGCGUCUGAUACUGGUUGGCUUGAAUCCGGGAGAGGGAUGUGGAAUUCCAGGUGUAGCGGUGAAAUGCGUAGAUAUCUGGAGGAACACCGGUGGCGAAGGCGGCGUCCUGGACCGGUAUUGACGCUGAGGAGCGAAAGCCAGGGGAGCAAACGGG
rnacentral:rRNA from 1 species